rnacentral:rRNA from 1 species
CUAGGCGGCGUCGGCUUUAACAACAUAGCGAAAGUCGAACGAGGAACCGAAUUGGAUCGAGGAGUUACGUCCAAGUGAAGGUGGGGAAAGGUGGCGACGGGUGAGGUAACGCGUGAGCAAUCUGCCUUGGAGUGGGGAUAACGGCUGGAAACAGCCGCUAAUACCGCAUGAUACAGCUGGGAGGCAUCUCCCUGGCUGUCAAAGAUUUAUCGCUCUGAGAUGAGCUCGCGUCUGAUUAGCUAGUUGGCGGGGUAACGGCCCACCAAGGCGACGAUCAGUAGCCGGACUGAGAGGUUGGCCGGCCACAUUGGGACUGAGACACGGCCCAGACUCCUACGGGAGGCAGCAGUGGGGAAUAUUGGGCAAUGGGCGCAAGCCUGACCCAGCAACGCCGCGCGAAGGAAGAAGGCUUUCGGGUUGUAAACUUCUUUUGUCAGGGACGAAGCAAGUGACGGUACCUGGCGAAUAAGCCACGGCUAACUACGUG